rnacentral:rRNA from 1 species
GACGAACGCUGGCGGCGUGCUUAACACAUGCAAGUCGAACGGAAAGGCUCCAGCUUGCUGGCUUACUCGAUUGGCGAACGGGUGAGUAACACGUGGGUAAUCUGCCCUUCACUCUCGGAUAAGCCUGGGGAACUGGGGCGAAUACUGGAUAUGACCUUUCUCCUUAUGGGGUUUGUUGGAAAGAUUUGCGGUUUAGGAUGAUUCCGCGGCCUAUCGGCUUGUUUGAGGGGGUAGGGCAUGCCAAGGCUACGCCAGGUCGCCCUCCUUAGAGGGUGAUCGACCACCUUGGGACUGCGAUACGGACCAGACGCCUAUGUGCGGCAGCAGUGGGGAAUCUUGCACAAUGGGCGGAAGUCUGAUGUAGCGACGCCGCGUGAGGGAUGACGGCUUUCGGGUUGUAAACCUAUUUCAGCAGGGCCGAAGCGUACUUGACGGUACCUGAAGAAGAAGCCACGGCUAACUACGUG